UACGGAGGAUCCGAGCGUUAUCCGGAUUUAUUGGGUUUAAAGGGUGCGUAGGCGGCCUGUUAAGUCAGAGGUGAAAGACAGCAGCUCAACUGUUGCAGUGCCUUUGAUACUGACAGGCUUGAAUGAUGUCGAAGAUGGCGGAAUGUGACAAGUAGCGGUGAAAUGCAUAGAUAUGUCACAGAACUCCAAUUGCGAAGGCAGCUAUCUAGAGAUUAAUUGACGCUGAUGCACGAAAGCGUGGGGAUCAAAC
rnacentral:rRNA from 1 species